rnacentral:lncRNA from 1 species
UUCUAUACUCACAUACUAGAUCACAUUUGGCCUUUGGCAAUUCAGUAAACAUUUUAGCAAUUUCUUCUUUCCUGCCUGCUGAAGACUGACUUCCUCCUGCUGCCAAAGUUCUAGAGUCUGGACGUCUGAGAUCAGGGUGCCAGCACUGUCGAGGUCACAGACUGCAGACCUCCUUGUAUCUUCAAAUGGAGGAAAGAGGACAAGAGAGCUCCUGUGGUCCCUUUUAUCAAGGCAUUUGCAGUGAUACAUCCUAGUGAUGGCAGCAACCGCCCGUCUGGAGCCGCGGUUGGGAAGACGUCGUCUGCAGCAAGGGAGGCGUGGUGGGGCUGUGCCUCUGUGGAGCUGGUGAGGCCGGGAACAGGCAGGCCCCCCGCCCCUAUCAAGUCGCGGGGCAAGAGCCCCUCCCUCCAGAUGCAACUGCAAGGGUGACUCCAGACCUAUACGCCCUAUGGCACUGUAGGCUCGGAAGGGCCUGCUCCCACUCCCUGGCCUGUUCCGGCUCGGGCACCCACACCACUGUAAAGCAAAGUUGUAGCUGAGCCUGGGCGUUGUGGCAACCCAGCCGAAUGUGUGUGCUGGAGGAGACGCUGACAUGCCAGCCUCCACUCCCACACCUCAGUCCCCGUGGGACUUUGGGCACAGACGAUCAAGGGACAGAGGCUGAGGGGGGGCUGAAGCUGGUGCAGUGUAGGCUUGCAGGCGACCAUUGGCAUGAAUAGCCUUCGUACCACAGAUGACAUAUUGAUGGAGGCAGGAGGCAGACACUUUCCUAGGCAGAAAGGGGUGAGUCCUUGGUGAGGCCCCACCUUCAAACCAGGGACAGGGAAGACUGGGGGCCAGGCCGUAGGCCGCCUGUAGUGAGAACUUACAGUGCUUUUUCCAGGCCUGCCCAUGGCCACCCAUGAACCAAUCAGCAUGCACUUCCUUCCUUCUGAAGCCAUAAAAAUCCUGGACUCAGCCAGACUCACACAGAUUACCUGCCUGCAGAUAGGAGCUACCACUGUGGUGCUUCUCUCCACUGAAGGCUACAGAUGUCAGGAAGACCUGCCUGCCUAAAGGAGCUACCUACUCCGGAUCUCCAGGAUGAUGUGCCUGCUUAUAGGAGCUACUCACUCCAAAUCUCCUCCUUGUUGAGGGCUGCAGACUUGACAGGACGACUGCCUGUGGAUAGGAGCUACCCACUUCAGGUCUCCUAGAGUUGUACUGUUGCUCAAUAAAGCACUUCUUCACCUUCCUAGCCCUUCAGUUUUCUGCAUACCUCAUUCUUCCUGGAUGUGGGACAAGAAUUUUGGUAGUACUGCAGAUUCUUUUGGAAAAAAAAUUCAGAAAAGUCUCAGUGGUGGUGGCUUUUCUCUGCUCCACAACUUUCAGGAUUUGCCCUUGAAGACCUGAAUGAUUGAAAGUUGAACAAUUAGAUAUGAAAGAUUUACUUCCCAGAUAUCUUCUUCGGUGACAUGCUGACCUCUGGAUGUGUCGGCU